rnacentral:rRNA from 1 species
UACCCGCAGCCCAAGUGGUGGUCAUUAUUAUUGGGCCUAAAGCGUCCGUAGCUGGUUUGUUAAAUGCCUGGGUACAUCGAUGCGCUUAACGUAUCGACCUCCGGGUAGCCUGGCAAACUCGAGACCGGGAGAGGUGUAGGCUACUCGCGGGGUAGGGGUAAAAUCCUGUAAUCCUGCGGGGAGGAACAGUGGCGAAGGCGCUACACUAGAACGGCUCUGACAGUGAGGUACGAAGCCCUGGGGCGCAAACCGG